GGCCUUGGCCUGGCCCACAGCCACUCCCAGGCCCAGGGACCAGGCUGUCAGGCAGCCCUGGGCCGGGCCCCUCCUGUUCAUGGGUCGUCGCCCGCGUUCCUGCAGGUUCUUGAUGUGCGGCCACAAUCCAGCCGGUACCUCCCGCCUGGCACACGGGUCUGCGCCUACUGGAGCCAGAAGUCUCGAUGUCUGUACCCGGGCAACGUGGUCCGGGGGGCCUCCGGUGACGAAGAUGAGGACCUGGACUCAGUAGUGGUGGAAUUUGACGAUGGGGACACCGGCCACAUCGCCGUCUCCAAUGUCAGGCUGCUGCCCCCUGACUUCAAGAUCCAGUGCACAGAGCCCUCUCCAGCCCUGCUAGUGUCUAGCAGCUGCCGGAGGACCAAGAAGGCGUCCAGUGAGGCACCCCCGCCUAGUGAAGCCACCACCCCCAGCCUGUCCCCCAAAGCCCAGGAUGGCCCCGAAGCUUUGAAGACACCUGGGAAAAAAUCUAUUAGCAAAGACAAAGCUGGUGCCAAAUCCCCCACGGGGGCCUCCGACCACUUCCUGGGCCGCCGUGGCAGCCCCUUGCUGAGCUGGUCCGCGGUGGCGCAGACCAAGCGGAAGGCGGUGGCAGCGGCCGGCAAGGGGCCGGGGGUGCUGCAGAACCUCUUCCAGCUCAACGGCAGCAGCAAGAAGCUGCGGGCCCGCGAGGCCGUGUUCCCUGUGCACAGCGUGGCCACGCCCGUAUUUGGCAACGGCUUCCGCGCCGACUCCUUCAGCAGCCUGGCCAGCUCCUACGCGCCCUUCGUCGGGGGAACCGGGCCGGGCCUCC
rnacentral:sRNA from 1 species